rnacentral:rRNA from 1 species
AGCGAACGCUGGCGGCAGGCCUAACACAUGCAAGUCGAACGAACCUUUCGGGGUUAGUGGCGGACGGGUGCGUAACACGUGGGAACGUGCCUUUAGGUUCGGAAUAACUCAGGGAAACUUGUGCUAAUACCGAAUGUGCCCUUCGGGGGAAAGAUUUAUCGCCUUUAGAGCGGCCCGCGUCUGAUUAGCUAGUUGGUUGAGGUAAUGGCUCACCAAGGCGACGAUCAGUAGCUGGUCUGAGAGGAUGAUCAGCCACAUUGGGACUGAGACACGGCCCAAACUCCUACGGGAGGCAGCAGUGGGGAAUCUUGCGCAAUGGGCGAAAGCCUGACGCAGCCAUGCCGCGUGAAUGAUGAAGGUCUUAGGAUUGUAAAAUUCUUUCACCGGGGACGAUAAUGACGGUACCCGGAGAAGAAGCCCCGGCUAACUUCGUG